GGUGUCUGGAAAUUGCGGACCAGAGUAUCUCAACCGAAUGUAAGCGCUGUUCUCUCAGGAUUAUCACAAGAGGCGGAGCUAAAGACUGUGUCUCCCAAAGUAAAUUCGUGCUGCUCUUGCAAUUGUGUCGGGUCAAUCUUACCCCAACUGAUUUCAAAACUCGAAACUCUGGAUUCCAAUAUUCAGCAACUUAAAACACUUUUAGUGCAGAACCAUCAGAAUCCAUUGUUCAGGUUUAUAAGUUGAUGUCUGAAGGAACUGUUCUCAUCGUUCAUGUGAUUAAUAAAAGCCGUUUGCUCUCUGCUCUCUGGCAUUCAAUAUUUACUACUUAAUGAAGUGGUCAUUUUUAAAGAUAUGGUGGCGAUUUCAUAAGAUCUUUCUAUUGUGAAAUAAAAUUGUGAGAUCAGUCCGAUUGCUUUUGAUGGAUCCUCCCAAUCCAAAUCUCGCAAGUUCUCUGUUUCUUUUUUCAGAAAGUUGAACUUCCAAGGGACAUCCACACCGCCUCCUCCGCCACCACCCCCUCCGCCGCCUCCCCCGCCUUUCCCUGGCGGGCAAAUGACACCCACAUGGGAGCAGCUCAAGGGAGGAGAUAAGAAAGAGGCGGACAAGAAGAGUGAUGGAAUAACGAGGCCUCCGAUUACAGUUGAAGAUCUCAGGGCUGUGACGUUGCGCAAAACCCCGCAGCAGAGUAAAGAACGGAAACUGAAUGUAGAUCCUCGCUGCCCAGUUGUCAAUUUAGAAAUGCUGCGUUCCGUGAAGUUACGGUCGAGGCGCAGGUUAAACAGCAGCGCAAGUCCAAGUUUGAAAUCCAUCCCAACCAAAUCUUCCAGAGAGAGAAGUGACACAGUUAGUCGAAGUUUGAACAUAGGAAGCGACUAUGGAGAUGAUAGUCUUCAAACAAACAGCGCGUAAAGCCGAUUUCUUCUCUGGGUAUGACCGUACAAACCCUCAUGGACCAGUUUUUGCCACCACAGCGCGAAUUUUUCAUCGGAUGAAUACGUUCAUCUCUUGUUCGAUGGGUAAAAUCAAAUACAGGAUCAAAUGGAAUAUUAUUGUCGCCCACUAUAACUGCCUCCCUCAAAGAGCGACUCGAUAAUGACGAGACAUUUGAAACGAGUUUGUGUAUAUAUUCUUUUUCAUACGAUUGAAGUAUUGAAUCGCGACCUGAAAUCAUCUCACCAAAUAAUUUACGUUGUGAGAGUCAAUUUAUAUUUUACUACAUAACCAGCACUCUGAUUUAAAUAUCGCUGGAGGUUUCACAAUCGCAAGAUAUAAAUAUUUAUUUUUUUAACACAAAAAGUGGAACUUAAUCGUAUUUUUCCAGAGAACAAUGGUAUACAUCAAGAAGCCAAAGGUCAGCACAAGCAUGUAAAUAUUAAUUUUGAUUUUGUGGACAUAGAAGAAGCACUCCCAGAAAAAACCUUGUUUUUCUUUUUUUCAAUAAUUCGCCAGUCACAUUCUUUCUCUCAAGUCAAAUGCGUCAAAACAUUCAAAAUAAAGCACGCGAAAAUCAUGAGGGUCUGAAUUAAAGCUACCGGGUCUUCAGAGCUUGAAAUGCUGCAUUGUCUCUAUGGAAAUAUAGUUACCUCGUGGUUGCAUUAUACAGCAUACCUAUCUUUAAACAGGCCCGGACUUAGGGCGUGUGCAGGGCGUGCGGCGCACACGGGCGCCAGCCUUUGGGGGGCGCCACGAAAGAAGAAGAGAGGGGAAAAAAGGGGGGAAAGGAAAAGGAAAAAAGGGAAGAAAGGACAAGGGGAAAAAAGGAAAAGGAAACAAGGUUGGGCAGUGAAAGCAAGGAAGAAGGGGGGAAAUGGAAGGAAAAAGGAGGCAAGAAAAGUGAAAAGAGAGUCCGCGAAAAAGGGGGGGGGCGCUUAGGGGUCCGCGAAGCGGCGAUUUUCAAAGCGAAGCGAAGGCGUCGCUUCGCUUCGCACUUCGCUUCGCAAUUUGCGAAGCAACCGGACGAAAAAACCCCUUCAAAUACGCUGGAUGCAACCCGCGGAAUUACGUUGCGGUUACUCCAGCGAGUCGCGACUCAGCGUGCGGCAGUGGUAAACUUCAUUGAACACUGGGAAAUACGUGCAGAAUGCUUUCAUUAAAUUUUCCUCCUCUUCCCUUAAAUUUUAAGAAUGAAUUUUUAUUGAGAUGCCAGCAGAUCUAAGAUUUUUUUGUUUAAAUUUGUCAUCGGUUUUGCUUUAAUGAUCAUAGAAUGAUAAAAAAUAAAAACUGUUUUUACUUUUUAUUUACCUUUUAAUUCUUUUUAAAUAUAAUUUAAUGUAAAACAUAGCAAUACCUGCAAAAUUAUGGUAAAUAUAAUUUGAAAACCAUCGAUUUAAACUUUUCCAAAAAUUUUAUUAUGAUGGAAUUUAGGUAAGGAGAAAAAGGCACUUAUACGCGGAGCGGCCGCAAGCGCAUGCGCAAAGAACCGGUUUACGCGGAGAAUCAUCCAUCAAUCAUGCGCAUUCGGCAUCGAUUCCGAAAUAGCGCGAAAAUUUGAAUUACCGCGAAAUUUUCGCUUCGCUUCGCUUCGCUUUUUCCGACCUCGCGCUUCGUUUUGCGAAGCGAAGCGAAGCGCUUCAGCAAGCUUCAGCUUCGUUUUGCUUCGCAAAAUGCGAAGCAAUGCGAAGCUUCGCGGACCCCUAAUAAAAACCAUAGACAAAAUAUAAAGAGAAUUGCCGUCUAAAGAUAAAUUUUCAGGACAAAAACUCCAGCUGGUCCAUAGACGGUCAGGCGCCCCUUGACCCUAAAUUCGCGACUGCACAGAAAUACAAGAGUAGGCAUGUAGUAAGGGGGCGCCAUAAAUCCAUCGAACAGGAGCCGACAUAGCAUUUUAGGCCACGUCCGCCAUCUUGGAUUUGAGAAUUUUUAAACAUAGUAAAAAUUCGAGUUUCCGGUCGAAAAAUACCCUCAGACACCGAGUUUCAAAAAAAUCCAUCGAACAGGAGCCGACAUAGCAUUUUAGGCAACGUCCGCCAUCUUGGAUUUGAGAAUUUUCAAAAAUCGACUAAAAAUUCGAGUUUCCCGUCGAAGAGUACCCCUAAUCCCGCGGUUCACAAAGCUCUAACGAACAGAAACGGAGGCCAGAACCGGGGCUCAUUUUAGGCCACAUCCAACAUUUUGGAGUUGAUAUUUUUAAAAAAUUGACUACAAAUUCGAGUUUUCCGUUGAAAAAUACCGUGUGAUACCGCGUUUCACAAGACUCGAACAAACAGAAACCGAGAUAGCAUUUUAGCCCACGUCCGCCAUCUUGAAUUUGAGAAUUUUAAAAAAUGGACUAAAAAUUCGAGUUUCCCGUCGAAAAAUACCGCCCGACACCGAAUUACAGAAAAAUCCAUCGAACAGGGGCCGAGAUAGUAUUUUAAGCCAUUUCGGAUUUUCGAAUUUUGAAUUUUUUGAAUUUUGACAGAUUUUGAUUUAAAACGCGUGAUCCCCAAAAUCGAAGUUCAGAUUCGGAUUCCUCGUAAAAAAUCGAUGCGAUUUCAUGUAUCAUACCCUGACACCGAAUUUCAGGAAAGUCCAUCGAACAGGAGCCGAGAUGGCAUUUUAAGCCACGUCAGUCAUUUCAGAUUUUCGAAUUUGGAAAAUUUGACUUAAAACGCGUGAUACCCAAAAUCGAAGUUCAGAUUCGGAUUCCUCGUAAAAAAUCGAUGCGAUUUCAUGUAUCAUACCCUGACACCGAAUUUCAGGAAAAUCCAUCGAACAGGAGCCGAGAUGGCAUUUUAAGCCACGUCAGUCAUUUCAGAUUUUCGAAUUUGGAAAAUUUGACUUAAAACGCGUGAUACCCAAAAUCGAAGUUCAGAUUCGGAUUCCUCGUUAAAAAUUGAUACAAUUUCAUGUAUCAUACCCGAGCAUAGCGUGAAGGAAAGAGACGUAACGUAGACAUACUGAUUCAAGUAUAUGAAUCCAACGUGGCAACAUGGGUAGUGCUCAGUGGGUCAGCGGGGGAGGAAGAAUAAGAAUUUAUCGUGAGGAAUUCCGCGGGACGAAACCGAACGCUUAAGUGGCGCCUCCGUUCGGUUGCAUCUCGGGCGACCGGCGCGGCGGCGUAGUUCAAAGAGGUAGUAUGACAGAAUCUAUACGCGUCGUUAAACCUUUUUCCUUCACGCUAUUUUAACAUAUGAUACAUGAAAUCUCAUCAAUUUUUCACGAGGAAUCCGAAUCUGAGCUUAGAUUUUGGAUAUUACGCGUUUUAAUCUACUUAAAAUCGUAAGAGAAUUAACAGAAUUGUCCUUGAAAAUUGAUCACACAUCGGUGUUUUUUUACGUCAUUAAACCUCUUUCCUUCACGCUAUUCUAACAUAUGAUACAUGAAAUCUCAUCAAUUUUUCACGAGGAAUCCGAAUCUGAGCUUAGAUUUUGGAUAUUACGCGUUUUAAUCUACUUAAAAUCGUAAGAGAAUUAACAGAAUUGUCCUUGAAAAUUGAUCACACAUCGGUGUUUUUUUACGUCAUUAAACCUCUUUCCUUCACGCUAUUCUAACAUACGAUACAUAAAAUCUCAUCAAUUUUUCACGAGGAAUCCGAAUCUGAGCUUAGAUUUUCGAUAUCACGCGUUUUAAUCUAUUUAAAAUCGUUGGAGAAAUUACAGAAUUGUCCUUGAAUAUUAAUCACACAUUAGUGAUUUUUUACCCCGUUUUUCCUCUACGUUCACGUAAUGAAAUUGGAUCAACAGUUGACUCAUCGACCAGUC
rnacentral:lncRNA from 1 species